rnacentral:rRNA from 1 species
UGGGGAAUCUUGCGCAAUGGGCGAAAGCCUGACGCAGCAACGCCGCGUGCGGGACGAAGGCCUUCGGGUUGUAAACCGCUUUCAGCAGGGACGAAAAUGACGGUACCUGCAGAAGAAGCCCCGGCCAACUACGUGCCAGCAGCCGCGGUAAUACGUAGGGGGCGAGCGUUGUCCGGAUUUAUUGGGCGUAAAGAGCUCGUAGGCGGUUUGGCAAGUCGGGUGUGAAAACUCCGGGCUCAACUCGGAGACGCCACUCGAUACUGCUAUGACUCGAGUCCGGUAGGGGAGUGCGGAAUUCCUGGUGUAGCGGUGAAAUGCGCAGAUAUCAGGAGGAACACCGGUGGCGAAGGCGGCACUCUGGGCCGGAACUGACGCUGAGGAGCGAAAGCGUGGGGAGCGAACAGGAUUAGAUACCCUGGUAGUCCACGCCGUAAACGUUGGGCACUAGGUGUGGGGCUCGAUCGACGGGCUCCGUGCCGUAGCUAACGCAUUAAGUGCCCCGCCUGGGAAGUACGGCCGCAAGGCUAA